CAAGUGCAUCGGGUCUUGCAGCUCAUGCAGAGUCGGCAAUGAGUGUCGAGGUUCUGAUCCUGUUUUCUCGCAGGCUUUUGCGUCAUGGUUAUUAGGGUAUCGGAGCAGAACUUGAUGCAGCAGGACGCCUGGAGCUCUGUCUAUCAUCUCCGUUUGUGGGUUGCAUUGCCAUCGCGUUUUUGCUACUGUUUCUUGCACGCUCGGCGAUGUCUAAAGCUUUGAGCUUUGAGCUUGGGUUCCGCCAAACCCUGCUUGGCUCCAGCCCUUUGAUGGUAGUUCGAGAACCCUAGAAACCAUAACGCUCGGUCUCAAUCUUACCUCUGUUUACAUUCUAAGCUACGUUGCAUUGCAGGGCAAAGUGAUAGAGUGGGAACAGUUUGAUGCAGAGUCCUGCUGCAAGCACUUCCAAAGUCAUGGAGGUUGAAUGGUUCGACACUCACGUAGAAGAGAUUUUACAGUUAGAUUCUAUGUAGACAAGGCCACAUUAGUUGGAUCUGUCAGAUGCAGGACAUAUUUGGAGCAACACUUUUUAAUCGAAUCAGUGUUGUUUAUAAUGUUGUUAAUCAUUUUGACAUUUGUAACAGUAGUUGCAGUUACUUGAUUCGCAAAAGCACGUGCUGUGAUUAAACAGACUCCUCAGGGUCUCUGGUGCGCAGCAUUAGAACUGUAGAAGCACACUGCUGCACAAUUGGAGUAAAAAUUUCUUCAACGUGGAAUCCGGCUGCUCGGGUACCCAGCCAUCUUGACUUUCACUGUACAGACGAUCCCGACGCCAACUUUAAGUCCCACCUGCAAAUUUGAUCGUCGUCGUAAUUUCCUGAUAAGUACAAAACAUUUCAGAUUCUACCGGCUUGAACGCCAGUAAUAAACCCAAGGGAAUUCAUCGGAGAAUUCAAAGAUUCUGGCUGCCUCAAACCUGCUCAGUAGUACUACGGGAACCCUCAGCUGAGACCGGUGCACAUGGUUUGCUGAUCUUUUUCAUUACCAGUUCAGUAUUGGUUUGACGUUAUUUUUUGGUGCAGUCAGCUUAGUCUCCAAGUUUGUGUACUCGUCGUGAAAAAGUAUUUGUCAUGUUCGGAGUGGGGCUGCAAGCUGUGUUUGGAAAGUGUGACUAAUGAUACCCGUCAAAGGUCCAGGUACUUUUUCUUGUGAAAGAUGGACGAAGUCACUGACUGAGAAAACGUAGAUUUGACGAUGAUCCAUUUCAGAGGCGUUGAUGAUUCAUGUACAUCUAUGACACAGCUUGCAGCCCACUUCUAUCGCAAACCGUAUUUUCUCAAAGCCAGCUGUCUGAAGGUCUGGUAAUGUUUAUGAAAACGAAACCACAUAGCUAAACACUGGUCAUAAAAUCUACGAUUUUCCGGUUGUAAGUAGGCUUCCGAGUGCUUCAAAGCUUGGAUUCCCUCAGAUUCAUGUCCUUAAAAAUAAGCCAGGUCUACAAGUAACGUCUACAGGAGGGUGAGAAGACCCCAUUCAAAAUGGUGGGAAGUUAUUCCAACUCAUAACUUACAAUAAAUCAAAAUCUGUGCAAUUUGAUGUUAUAGGUUUGACCUAAAACAUCAAAACCUAUGUAUUGCAACGUUGCAACAGAUAAUGAGAUCUCGUUCAGACAAUAAUGGCAGACUUUUUCACAAAGUUCAUAAACUUUUGCUUCAAGUGGUG